rnacentral:rRNA from 1 species
UACGUAGGGGCCUAGCGUUGUCCGGAUUUAUUGGGCGUAAAGAGCUCGUAGGUGGCUCGAUAAGUCGGGUGUUAAACCCCCAGGCUCAACCUGGGGCGCCACUCGAUACUGUCGUGGCUAGAGUCCGGUAGGGGAGCGUGGAAUUCCUGGUGUAGCGGUGAAAUGCGCAGAUAUCAGGAGGAACACCAGCGGCGAAGGCGGCGCUCUGGGCCGGAACUGACACUGAGGAGCGAAAGCGUGGGUAGCAAACAGG